UAUCACCACUUCUCAACAUUCACAACUUCUCUUUAUAUUUUCAUUUUCUCAUUUUCAAUCUCAAAUUCAAAGUUUUAUAAUGGCAUCAUCAGCUAUGAAGUUCUUCUCCUUCUUUUUGGUCAUCAUCUUCGCCGCCACCGUGGCCUCUGCCCAAGAUCUUAGUCCUUCGUUGGCUCCAGCACCAGGUUCUGAUGCUGGAGUUGCUGGAUCUGUUACAAGUUCAGUGGCAAUGAUCGGAGUUUCAGUUGUAUUGUCAAUGAUCGCCAUCUUCAAACACUAAAAACAUAAUGAUUCCACUUAUUUUCUUGUGGAUUUCAUGGAAGUAGACAAGUAAUAUUGACCUGUUCUGAUGCAUAAUGUUGUUUUGUGGUACGAUGAUGAUUGUUAGGAGUUUAUCUAUGUAUUUUUGAGAGUGUAAGAUAUUUUAUAGCAUUUACUUUUACAUUUUAUUAUUUAUUGUAGGUGUUAAAGUAAAAUAAAUAGGACUUUACCAUGGUUCUUGAGUAAUUAUUAUUGUCAUGUUUGCUUAUUUAUUUUUGUGGAUAAUAUAUAAACUAUGACAUUAUUACAUUUUUCUACUUAGUAUUCUUUUAUAAAUCUUUUUCUUUUAUUCAUAUUUAUUCUUUCAUCAUUUAAGUUUGGACUUUUUUUUUGUGUACCUUUUAGUUUGGACUUGAAUAUGAAAAUAAUUAAACAAGUUGUUUAUUAGAAAAAAAAUAGGUUUAAUUGCAUUUUUCCUCCUAUCUUUUGUUAAUUGUGCAAUUUUGCACCCCUUUAUUUUUUGAGCGAUUUUGCACCCCAUCUUUUUCCCCCUUUCUGAUUUUGCCCCCCGUCUUUGUGUUCAAUUGCACUUUUGCCCCCUAUCUUUUUGCUAAUUGUGCGAUUUUGCACUCUCUCUUCUUUUUUUUGAACGAUUUUGCACCUUAUCUUUAGCCCCUUUUCCUCUCUUUUAAUGAUGAUUUUUAACAAAACACAAUUGGCAAAAGAUGGGGUGCAAAAUCACUCAAAAAAAACAAGGGGUGUAAAAUUGCACAAUUAGCAAAAGAUAGGGGGAAAAGUGAAAUUAAGCCACUUUUUUCUUGACAAGAAAGCAUCUCCAAGAUUUUUGUAAGAAGAUAAAAGAAAUACUCCCUCCGGUCCUAUUUAUAAGAUAAAGUUGGGUCAACAAAAGUUGAUGUAUCAGGUUAACAAUUUUCUUAUAAAUAGGACCAGAGGGAGUAUAUGUUUAAUUGUAUAUUAAUUUUCAAAAAGAACCAAAAUUUAAGAUAAAAAUAAAGAUUUGCGAGAAAAUAAUAUAUUUAUUGAAUUUAACUCCAUUUCAUUAACCCACUGACUUUAAUUAAUAAGAGUGUUUUCUUUUUGUGGUGGCCGAAGUUUAAACCUCAAACCUUAUAUAUAUUAUGCAUUGUCUCCAGCAACUAAGUUAAAUUCACGAUGACAAUUAAUAAGAGUAUUUUGGUAAAUGAUACAUUAUUCAAUCACUAUUAUAAACAAAAAUCAAUUUUUUUUUAUAAAAUUUUAUUAUGACUUAUAAUAGUGAUCAGAGGAUGUACUAACAUUAUUAUUAAAAUCACCAUAACCGAACGUUUUCUUAAAGAGAAAUGUUAUUUGUACAACCAUUUUUAUACAACUUUUGUACAACUUUAUCUCUGAUACUCACAUUAUCUUCUUAUUCUCUCUUUUCUUUUUUCUCUCUCCAUUGUUUUUGACCAAUAAGAAGAGAGAACAACAAGGUUGUACCAAAAGUUGUACCAAAAUAGUUGUUCAAAUAUCAUUACUCUUUCUUAAAAAUCGUACACAACCACAAUGUGACAAUUAAAAGGUAUGGGGAGUGCGGAUAGGUAUUAUUCUUUCCCGAGAAAUGAUAUUUGUACAACCACUUUGUGAUAACUUUUUGAUAACUUUCUCUCUCAUACUCACAUUAUUCUCUUAUUCUCCCUCUUUCUUUUUCUCUCUCCAUUGUUUUUGACCAAUAAAAAUAGAGAGAAACGAAGUUGUCACAAAAAUCGUAUCAAAUGGUUGUUCAAAUAUCACUUCUCUUCUUUCCCGUGUCUUUUUCACCCGUCCAAUGAUAAUCCAACCAUUUCUAAUAAAUUUUUAUAAAGUUCAGUGAAAUAAAAUGAAUGGUUAAGAUGAGUGACUUCAAGAGAACAAUUCUACCAUUAAUAAAAAUAGGCUAAAUUACAUUUUUGGUCCCUUAACUAUUUAGGUAGUAUCACUUUGGUCCCUAAGUUAAAAUUUGAUUUAUUUUGUUCUCUUAACUCCUUCCUGCUACACAUUUUGGUAUUUUUCGUUAGUUUUAAUUCAAAAACGUUAGGUUUUCUUCAUUUUCUUCUGGAAUUUUUCUCGGAUUCAUGUUGUUGAAGGUUGAUGGAGAUGAUAUAAAGAUGAAAAAGAGGAGAAGAAGAUGAAGAAAACCUAACGUUUUUGAAUUAAAACUAACGGAAAAAACUAAAAUGUAUAACGAAGAGAAGUUAAAGGACCAAAAUAAAUUGAAUUUUAAUUAAAGGACCAAAACAAUACUAGCUUAAUAGUUAAUGAACCAAAAAUGCAAUUUAGCCAUAAAAAUAUGUCUAUGGUUCCACUUGAACAAACGAUUCCUCUAUACAUCCGCCAUAUGAAUUAUUAAUUGAUUCUUAGAACUUACAAGAGUCCAAGUCUUGAUCGAAAAAAGAAGAGUCCAAGUGAAUUUUAAAUCAGAAAAUAUUGGCUAUUAUAGCGGUUGAGUUAUUCAAAGAAAAACAAAAGAUAUAAUAAUUCUACUUUUUUGGUACUUUUGUUUAACAAAAGUGAACAGCACAUUCACACAGCUCACAAACGUAUAGAAACAUCUAACGGCCGACUCAUUCAUAGUAAUAUAUUUUCAAGCUCCAGCUGUCCACGUUAUCUGUGGACCCCACACUCUUCGCUAAAUAAUAUUCUUCCCUUAUAAAUACUCUCACCCUCUCAAUUCUCAUAUCAUCACCACUUCUCAACAUUCACAACUUCUCUUUAUAUUUUUAUUUUCUCAUUUUCAAUUUCAAUUUGAAAGUUUUACAAUAACAUCAUCAACUAUGAAGUUCUUCUCCUUCUUUUUGGUCAUCAUCUUCGCCGCCACCGUGGCCUCUGCCCAAGACCUUAGUCCUUCGUUGGCUCCAGCACCAGGUCCUGAUGCUGGAGCUGCUGGAUCUAUUACAAGUUCAGCGGCUAUGAUCGGAGUUUCAAUUGUGUUGUCAAUGCUCGCCAUCUUCAAGCACUAAAAACAUGAUGGAUUCCACUUAUUUUCUUGUGGAUUUCAUGGAGUAGGCAAGUAAUAUUGACUUAUUCUGGUGCAUAAUGUUGUUUUGCAGUACAGUGAUGAUUGUUAGGAGUUUAUCUAUCUAUUUUUGAGAGUAAUGUAAGAUAUUUUACGGUAUUUAUUUUUACAUUUCAUUAUUUAUUGUAGGUGUUACAGUAAAAUAAAAAGGACUUUACUAUCGUUGUUGAGUAAUUAUUAUUGUCAUGUUUGCGUAUUCAUUAUUGUGUAUAAUACAUAAACAAUGCCAUUAUUGCAUUUUUCUACUUGGUAUAUUUUUUUAUAAAUCUUUUUAUUUUAUUCAUCUUUUAUCUUUCAUCAUUUAAGUUUGGACUUUUUUUUGUGUACCUUUCUGUUUGGAAUUGAAUAUGAAAAUAAUUAAAAAGUUGUUUCUUAGAAGAAAAAAAAUAUUUAAUACUAACAGCUCAAUUUUUGUUUUGAACAAUCAAAUUUAUUAGAAAUGACAGAAGUAGUACUUAACUCACAAUUCAGGAAUAGUACAAGGGAUACUUGCUUAGUAAAAAAUCCAAACUCUAACUUAAGUAUUUAAACAAAGAAGAGAGUUUGAGUAUCAUUUAUUAUAUAAACACGGUCCCACUUUUUUCUUGACAAGAAAGCAUCUACAAGAUUUUUGUAAGAAUAUAAAAGAAAUAUAUGUUUAAUUGUAUCUUAAUUUUCUAAAAGAACCAAAAUUUAAGAUAAAAAUAAAGAUAUUAAAAGAUAAAGAUUUGUGAGAAUAUAAUAUUUUUUUUGGUUUUAAAGAAUGAAGUGGCGAAAUUCAAUUCAUAUAGGUGAAACGAACUAUCUCGGGUUUGAACAUGCCUAAUCAAAAACAAAAAGUCGCAAAAAGUCGUUAACCAACAAAUUUAGCUGAAAUAGUUUAUGAACUACACCAAAAAAUAAUUUAACACGAAGAAAAAAAAAGGAAAAAAUCGUUUACGUUAAUAAUGAGUUGUGGUCUUUCUAUAAACUGGCAAAUUUAUUAAUCAAGCCAAUUUACAAGAAGUAACGAAAGCACAAGCAAACAAGAAAAAAACAAUCAUAAAAUAAAAAUAUAAAAAACAAGUACUACACCCUAAGAACAUGCCCUCAUAAACACAAUUUUACACUACACAAUCCGAAGAAAGACCUAACUAAGGUUUUACAAUUCGAGAGUUUACCUCAAUUUGUUUUACCUAUAUAAACUCAAACUCAUAUAAGUUUAUUUAAAAUUAAAAUUAUAUAAAAUUUAUUAUAUCCAUGACAUAAGUAAGCUAAUAUAAUAUUGCAAAUAUGUCAAUAAUUCAAAAUAUGACUUAAUUACAAAGACAAAGUAUACAUAACCACCAUAAUAAAGAGUUGUGUUCGGCUUAGCAUCAAAAUACAAAAUUAACUUGCAAAAUCAUAAGUUUGGUAAGACUUUAAACCAUCCAAUAAAGCAAGUUUUAAAAGUUUUUAAAGUUGUUAAUGUUGGAUAUUUAUAUAUUGGCUUCACUUUUGCCUAAAACAAAUAUUCAUGUGAGAUAUUGAACACGAUGUGUCAACAUCCUGGCAUGGUUCAGUUGAUCUGCACACUGUCUCGUUUUAUGCACGCGCUAUUUUAUUUAAAGAAUCCACAUCUUUAUUCAUGUUGGUCAAGCUGCGUGUUUUUAGCACAUGAUCAGAUCAGUUUGUGAUUUCCUAAGAUUGUGUUAUCUACUUAGGAAAGUUUGGAGGUGAUCACGAUGUUCCUAAUAAUGUGCCUACAUAUUAGGAGUUUCCUUUUUUGAUUCUGUUGAUCGUGAAAUGGAUCACCGGAUUGUUCUGAAGCACAACAAGUUUACUGACUCGUAUUGCUUCAGUAUUUAAACAAGACUCAUUCAAGCCGUCAUUUUGAAGAAUAGAUCAUCUAGGAUUUUGAGUCUGUUUGUGUGAGCUUUUCGUGUAUCAUCUUAAUGCAUGUUUAGGACUGUGUUUGAGUUGUAAAUUGUGCACUACUCUGAAGCUUUUAAGAAAAGAGUUAGGUAGUUUGUAAACUGCACCUAAGUUGUGAAAUACGGUGUUUAGUUUUUUUGUGUUUGUAAUUUGAGAAUCACAGGGGAUGUGAUCAAUUGUAAGGGAGUGAGAUGGGAUCUCAGAUCUAGGAGUUCCUAGGUUGAAGUCAGUACGGGUAGGUCCUAGGUCAUUAGCACAAACGAGGAGUUUGCUGAGAGCUAUUGAAUAAGGACUACACUAGUGGAUUUCCUUCCUGACUUGGUAGCCCCCAGAGUAGGUGACGUUGCACCGAACUGGGUUAACAAACUCAUUGUGCUUUUUACUUUUAUGCUUUGCGUUUUUCUUGUCUUUGUUAGCUUAGUGUUCGAAACAUUUCACUCAACAUCUGUUUUUGUAUAACUUGUGUUGAAACAUUGUAUGGAACAUCUUAAGUCUAACGUGCCAGAAUUUCAGUUAAUGAAGUUAUCCAAAAAAUAAACUAGUUAAUUUCUUCAAAAGUUCAAUCAUUCUAAAGUUUCUUAAUAUCAUUAUCAUUGGUGUCUUCAUCUCCAAUUUCAUCAAAUUCUUCUCGAGAUGAUAUAGAAUUUUCCAUAUUACAACCAAAUACAUGGCUUGAACUCACUUCAACAUUAAUUAACUCAUUCAAGUUUACUAUAGUUACAAGAUUUUACCAGGUUUAACACGUGUUAACUAACCCGGUCAAACAUUACAAUUUCAUCAAAAAUAAAGUAUAUCUGCGAGUUAACACGUUUUGGCCACCUAAAAAUGUAAACUCGGACGAAUUUACGAGUUAACAUUUGAUUUGUUGAACACUGCCCGCAACCACACCUGCCAGCUCCAUAAAAUCUACUGCCAAACCUCUACUGCUAAAUUACAUUCUAAAAAUAUGUGUGAGACGUUUUCAUCCGUUCCACAACCAAAUGAACAUAUUUUUUUACGAUUUAAUCCAAACUUCUCUUUUAACUAGAUUAUCUUUCGUCGGUAUCCUAUUUUGCAUCAUUUAUUCACACCAAAACUGAUGAAUACGCCUCCUUUAUCGUAUGUCCUUUUCUACCACUUAUCAUCCUAUCAUUCUUCAAAUUGUAUCUUCUUUAUCGUACAACUAAAUCAAACGCCUUUAAAUUUUUAAUCCCUACCCCUCCGACAUACUUUGUCAGUUAAUUUUCCUACUUACCUCUUUCCCAUCUCACCUUAAACUUCUAAAGAGAGAUUCCAGUUUAGAAAUUAAUCUAAAGUACCCUUGAAGAAAGAAAGAAAAUGGAUAGAUAAACCAUACAUCCCCAGUUUCAUUUUACUUGCCACUUUAGUGUUUUUUUUCUUCAUUUCGAAAUAAUUGUUACUUAUACUAAUAUAAUAUUUUUUUUCAUUAAUAUACCUUAAUUUAUUGAAUUUCACUCCAUUUAAUCAUCUCACUAACUUAUGUUUUGAUAAAUAAUACUAACUAUACAUGUUGUUAGUUAUCAUGAAAUCCCAGGGAUAAAGUACAUAAUGAUCAGCAAAAAAGAGAACAUACGAAUAUUCAUGUGGGAGAUACCCAUAGAAACUCAUAGUAGAAGGAAUAGAUUGGAUAAAAGAUGAUUAAGAGCGUACAAUGGUGAAAGCUAUUUAUAAGGGAAAGUUAGUCUAACUAACUCUUAACUACUCAACCAACCAGCUAACCAUAGUUUUCAUAUCAACUAACUAUGAUUUAUUCAUUAUACUCUAAUAGUCUCCCUCAAACUCAAAAUGGAGAAAUUCACCAAAUUUGAGUUACAAUUUAUUCACUAUAUUGUCCAACUCUACUCUCAAAAGUUACGAUUAACGUGACAUCAUGCUUUGGAAUACUUUAAUUUUUCCCAAAAAUGCCAAUUCCCUCCUUUGAUUAUAUUCAGUCGAAAAUGGCAUUUUUGGGGGUCCCAAUUUGUUAGCUGGUAUUUUCACCAGCCUCAUUUAAUAUGGUCAACAUUAGUUGACUUUUACUCUUGCAGGAAUUGAAGUCUUUUUCCUCAAUAAAAACAUUUUCAACGAAAUGUUGGAUUUAGUGUGAAGAGUCUCGAAGCAUUGAAGUUCGACAAGACACAUAGCAAGAGGCGAGGCCGUUGUAGUCAAGCAACUGCCUUUGGAGCGGGAAAGAUUCAAAUUUCAAAGGAGAAUCGGUUUCCUCAAAGGAGAACGUGGGAUACAAGCGGUUGUCUACAUGGAGGGAGUGUUGAUCGUGUGAUUAGUUUCUUUCCACUUAUUUCUUAUGUAUAAAUAAUAGUUUUCCAUAGGAAAACGGGUCGCAUAUCGCCUAUACAGAAUUUUCAAAACACUCGAAGUAUCGGCGCAAGAGAAAAUGGUCACAAAGAAUGUAUGUAAAGGAUUUGUCAAACCACCUUUAUUUUUAAUGCACUUGUAUUUGCACUUUUUCUUUUCUUUAAGUUUAUGCAAUUUAAACUUAAUGUUUUAAAAAACCUGUCGAAAGACGCCACACGGUCUCAUCCCGUUCCAUAAACAACCUACGAACUUGAUGAACGCACACCAACAAAUUGCACAACAUGUCCUAGGAUCUCUAGUUUGGUUCUUCUUGUUAUAAUCAAAACCAGUCAGUAUUUAUUUACCAUAAACACUGAUAAACAGCUAGUUAACUCACGGCAGGGGCAUUUUCAAAAAUUUGUUUGGGAGUGAACAAAACUUGUUGAAAGAAGAGCAUUUUUCUAAAAUGAUUUCUUAAUAAUUUAUAGAGCCCAAUCAAAUAGAGUCUUCAGUCACUGUAGCAUCUACUCCCAUGAAGUAUAAGAGCGAUUUCAAGAGAACAAUUCUACCACCAAUAAAAACACGUUUUUUGUUCCAUUUGGACAAACCAAUUCCUCUAUACAUCCACUACUUGUGAAUUACUCCAUUUGUUCCAUUUGGAGUAUUAAUGUAUUAAUGUAUUCUAGGAACCUAAAAGGGUCCAAGCCUUGUCCCAAAAAAGAGCAGUCCAAGUCAAUUUUAAAUCAGAAAACAUUGGCUAUUAAAGCGGUUGAGUCCUUCAAAGAAAAAACAAGCAUGAUAAUUUUACUUUUUUUUUAGGGAAAGCAUGAUAAUUCUACUUAGUUGUUUAACAAAACUAACAACACAUUCACACAGCGCACAAACGUAAACAAACAUCUAAUGACCGACUCAUUCAUAAUAGAUUUUUACAAGCUUCAGCUGUCCACGUUAUCUGUGAACCCCACACGCUUCUCUAAAUAAUAAUUCUUCCCUUAUAAAUACUCUCACACCCUCUCAAUUCUCAUAUCACCACUUCUCAACAUUCACAACUUUUCUUUAUAUUUUCAUUUUUUUCAUUUUCAAUCACUAUUCAAUAGUUUUGCAAUGGCAUCUUCAGCUAUAAAAUUCUUCUCCUUCUUUUUCGUCGCCAUCUUCGCUGCCAUCGUGGCCUCUGCCCAAGACCUUAGUCCUUCGUUGGCUCCGGCACCAGGUCCUGAUGCUGGAGCUGCUGGAUCUGUUGCAAGUUCGGUGGCUAUGAUCGGAGUUUCAAUUGUGUUGUCAAUGCUCGCCAUCUUCAAGCACUAAAAACAUGAUGAUUUCACUUAUUUUCUUGUGGACUUCAUGUAAGUAGACAAGUAGUAUUGACUUGUUCUGGUGCAUAAUCUUGUUUUGCAAUACAAUGAUGAUUCUUAGGAGUUAAUCUAUGUAUUUUUGAGAGUGUAAGAUAUUUUACUGUAUCUAUUUUUACAUUUCAUUAUUUAUUGUAGGUGCUAAAAUAAAAUAAAAAGGACUUUA
rnacentral:lncRNA from 1 species